UAUGGCCACAUCACACUGAAACACUGAUUCUCGUACGAUCACUGAAGUUAAGCAACACCGUGCUUGGUCAGUACCUAGAUGAGUAACCUCUUGUGAAUACCAGGUUCUGUAAG